CAGCCCCUGAAUGCUCCAGAGAGUGGUAGAAGAACCGCCUCCAUUAAAAUUAACACCUACCAUGCCACCAGCCUCCUGAUCCCUAACCACCCCACUCCCUGCCCCCUAUCCCAAAGCCUCAUUUCAAAGAGGAAGAUGCCAAGGCUCCGAAAUGGCAGGUCACCAUGGCCUCUGGGGCCCGCGUGGGCCGAGCAAAUCAGCCACACCUGGUUCCUUGGAGCCAGCCCUGCCCUUCUAACCUGCCAAGAGACCAAACAGUCCAUCUGAAGUAAUUCUGUGGAAGGGGACAUGCAAGAGUUGAAGUUGAAUAGAAUGUAAUACAAGGAAGAAACGUCUCUUUCAUACUCCAAUCCCAACCUCACUCCCCAGACAGAACCCAGGUUGACUGGUAAUCUUUUCAAAUAAAGUUUGU